CAUUAUGUAACGGCAUCUCUACGGGAGUGAAUUAGCAUUUCCAUUCUCUCUUUAAUACCUUUAAUACCAGAUGGAAGUUCAAAUCGAUCUCAGAAACCGGAAAUUAAUAGCUCUCAUCAUCUCGCUACUACCUUCCCUAUUCCUUAAUGGCUUAGAAACCCUAGGAUGUCUUUCCAUUCCCUCAUCAAAAACGUUAGGUAUUCCCAAUCCAACUGAAAUUUCGGCGACUUUACAAAAGUAAAACGUCCAUCCAGCAUUAAUUGGAUUUCUCUCUAUAAAAUGUCUAAUCCCAAUCGAGAACAGCAUCUCCCACCAGUUGAACAUGUAUCUGAUGAAAUUAUUUCUUAGAAUUUUCAGUUGCUGCCAAAAGAACCGAAGAAAUGGCAUCGCUGAUUAAUCAAUCAAAUUUGCAUGAAUAAAAAAGGAAGAGGAUCUGGGGGGCAUGAUUGGGAAGAAAAGUUAUAAAAACAAAACCAUUUGUGCAAAUACAAAGAUGCAAGAGGUUCAAAACUCUUCCAGCAAACUGAUCAUUCUUUUCCUGCGAAUCAAACUGUUGGGGUAUGCAUUUGAUGUGGUGGGUUUCUUAAAUACCAUCACCAACAUCCAUCUGCUUUAAGGGCAGUGUCCAGCCAUGCCAAAUGCGUGAACCUAGGAAUCUCAGGUGUAAAUUCUUGGUCGUUCCAAUUGUUGCAGGUGCCCGAAUACAAAUUAAUAAACCAAACAUGAGAAAGAGGUAUAAGUUACCUCUUUUUGGAUGGAUUUGAAUUGUUGGUGCUCAAUUUUCCUCUCCCCAUUGCUGUUAUGUAUUCCUAUGCUUACAUUUUAAUUGGUGGAUCUAGGAUAAAAAGAGUCUGUGGUAGGGUUUUCAAUAGUCUUUGUCUUUGUUUUCUAAGUUCUAUCUAUCGGUCCCUAAGAAAAUUAAGAGAGGGCCAAGAUGUUCAUUUGUUGAUUUGAAAUCAUAUGGUUACUGUCACAUUGAUCUCUAACUUUUUUUACUGUUUCACUGGAAUUAAGUUAGGGAUGAGUGUCUGUAACGUGCUACUAUUUCAAACAUGAUAAAUGUGGGACGUUAGGCAAGCUAAAUAAGGGAAAUGGACUACUAUGUCCCAUAUUUACUUUAUGUUAUAAUCUCUACAAUAUACAGACUAAGUUUGUUGAAAUUUUUUGAUUUAAGUUACUAUGUAAGGAACAUGAAUUGCGGAUAGGGAUUUGUUGGUGGGAUUUUAGGAAAAAGCUGCUCGACUUUCGUCUUUCUACUAUUGAAGAGGUUCAAACUGUAUUGGAUUGAACUUUCCGAACACUAUUAUUCAAAUAAAGGAUUAUCACUAUAUUGCAUUUGAUUUUCUUAUACAUGUACAGGUAGUUGGUCCUUUAUUUGUAUCAUGGGAUUGACUCUAAUCUGUCAAGGAGCAUUAAGGAGCAAGUCAGGUUAUGCAAGUGAUAUGAUUUUAUAAUUUAUUCCUAAAUAUUAAUUAGUUGUUUUUAGUCUUCAUAUUGUGAUGGCUAUUUAACGUCCCCAAUGUAAAAAGAUAAAUUUGGGCAUAACAAAGGUUUUGUGUUUUUGACAUUUCUUAGUAAUUCUCUGUUAAUGUGUAGCCGGCUUUUGAAGAAAAAAAAUCAAUUUUUUCGAUUUUCAUAACAAAGGUUUUGUGUUUUUCCUUUCCUUUUCCGAUUUUUGUAAUUUGUCCUCUCCGUAAUGCAUCCAACUCCAUUUACAUUUAAGUAUUUGAUUGGUUUCAGGCGUUUAGUGUUCGACUGGUGAUUUUAGCUUUCCAAUGUACAGGCUUUCAGCCUUUCAAUCGGUGGUAUUAAAUACAUAGUGAACAGACAUUAGAUUUCAAUCGUCCCUCAACAAUGCUCAGUAGAUCAUUUUUUUCUCCUCCGAAAUAAGGAUAAUUUAUUUUAGAUUUAUUAAUGACUUGAUUAACAGUAUGGAAAGGAAGUAACGCUAGGAAUCAUUGGCCUGCUUAUUGGCCUGUUAUAAACCAUGUUAAGAAUCUUUUAUGUUGUUCGGAAACUUUAGAAAUUCUUGAAUGCGAUUUAACUCAUAUACAUGUUUUUUGUAUUUUAUCUACGUUUUAGCUAAAUGUGAAAUGAAAAGCUGUCACAAAGAAUAAGGGCAAUCUGAUCCCAUGUUUCGAUGUAUCAUGGAUAUAGGUGAUGUAGGCAAGCAUUCUAAGGGUAGUUUCUUAUAAGAUAUGACAACAACCUUUACCAGCUCCUCAUAUUUUGGGUCUUUCUGAUGUCUAUGGAUAAAUGGUACUGAUUGCCUUUACAUUUGUUUAUAUCUAAUGUACAAACAUAGUACUGUUGUGAUCGCGAAGAUUUAUGUGUAUGAACGGAUUCAUAGAUACCGUCUUUCGUGGAAAUAUCCAGUUCCUAAAUGCAACCUGUACUCAAGCCUUUCUUUUCUUUUUUCUUAAGAAUUGAACAUGUGCAUGUAUACUUCUCAAGUUAUAGGUCAUAUUCUUUGAUUGGUUAAUCAUUUGAUCCUCAGUUUGCGAUCAUCCCGUUUUAAUGGACAAUAGACAUUGUAAUAAUUAUAAACAUUAAGAUGCGAAUAGAAAAAUAAUGAGGCUUAUUUCUGGAAAUAAGGUAAUAGACAAAUGACUGACUGGAAUUGAUCCUAUGUAUAGAAGGCUAAAGUCUUUCAUUAGGCAAGCAAGUGUCUUGCAACCUAUUCCAUUAUUUGCAGGUUUAAAACUUAGGUAACUUAUUAGGCAAGCAUUGAUUGGGUUUUUUUGAUGUUUUUUCUUAGGUACUCACUCAGUGAAGAAGAUAAACAUUUAUAGUGGAAAUAUUUUUCUUAGCUUUGUAUUUAUGUCUCAUAGCUCUUCGAUGUCCUGAAGAUCACAUUUUCCUAUCAGUGUGUCAAUAUAUAAACCACUUAUUCAGAUUUGAUUUAUGUUAACUCUUUGUGUGCAGGUCGCUAAUGUCAUCAUGUGUAGCGCCACGGCCACCAAUGUGCUUAUCGAAAGUGGUUGGCUCUAUCUUGCCUGCCAACGAUGUAGCAAGAAAUGGUGACCUUUGGUGCACUAAAUGUGAAGCCAAAGUUGAUAUCCAUCACAAGGAUACUGCAAAAGCUGCGGUGGUGUCCGGAUUCCCACAGAUCCUACAUCAAGCUGUCGAUUUCCGGAUCACCCUCAAUUCCUUCAACAUGAAACAGAAUAUCCCGACGAGCUUCACCGUUCCACGUAUUAAACUACCAUACCCAGCCUGUGCAUUCUGGAUCAGACGGAGGUUUUUUUUCCAAAUGUGAAAAAUGAAGGGAACUCGCACACUAUUGAUUGGCCGCUCAAAAAGAAGACUCGCAGUGACGAACGAGAACCAAAGUUUGUUUUUUUCAUGAGUAUAUGUUUGUUUCUUCCUAAGAUUUUGGUACUGUGUUUGUUUAUAUUUGUUUAUAGGUGCUAUGUUUGUUUUUCUGUAAGUUUUUAUUAAUAGACUAGGCAAUUGAAGAUGAAAUUUGAUUUAAUCUUCAUGAAAGACGAUUUGGUAGUCUACUGAUGAUAAUGUUACCUGAUAA